CAGUACCAUCACCAUGCCUUUGACAGCUGUACCAUGCCCCCCUUCCCAGCAAGGACAAAUGGAGACCUAAAACACAGACAACCUCACUACUUCAAGGCCUGUAAUGCUUUGGUUGAUGAAGUGGAGACAUAAUCCACUGGCCCCUUAAACAGCCUGGCAGAGGAGAGCUGCAGGUCUAUAGAUGCCAGCAGAAUAGAUCCCUGGAAACAUGGGAGAGGGCCUCAAACACACUCAGUACUGGAGAUCACCCUAUGAAUGGCAGACAAGAUGAUUUGAGAAACACAUAAAGCCAAUGACCCAUGUUAUGCUGUGGGAGUCCCAUCCCAUACCCUCCUCCUUCACUGCCAGAACACACCUUAAACACCUCCUGGGACAUGCUGCUCCCCACGAAUGAACCAGACCAUUCUACAGGAGUCACCAUGCAACAUCCCUCUCCACCACUCCUUUUGUGGAUCCAUCCAUCCACCACGGCACCACCCUCCCUUGGACACCGGUAUCACCACCCUCCUUUGGACACCGGUAUCACCACCACUUUUGGACACCGGUAUCACCACCACUUUUGGACACCGGUAUCACCACCACUUUUGGACACCGGUAUCACCACCCUCCUUUGGACACCGGUAUCACCACCCUCCUUUGGACACCGGUAUCACCACCCUCCUUUGGACACCGGUAUCACCACCCUCCUUUGGACACCGGUAUCACCAGCAAUGCAGCCGCCAAUAUCCUAGCGGUCACCCUCUCUGCACACACAUCCAGACUCCUCUCCUACCACAACGUCCCCCAAUCCUACACACACUUAUACUCUUUCCAAUUUGCCUUUCUAAAACACCAUCUUCGCAUCACCACUCUACCUUGUCUACACACCCCAAAACCCUAAUUUACCAACACCUGGAUAGAUCACCCCCUACUUUAGUCUCCCGAUGCACCUCCCACUCACACCUUCCCACCAGCACUGCAGACACCAGCGUCAGAUCCAGACACGAUUCUGUACCCCUCACAACAUCAAUCCUAGUACCCCUCCCAUCACUCAUGCACACCAGGCCACGACACCCCAUACAUUCCUCCACCUUUCUCCCAUUGCCAUUUGUCCGUACACUCCCCCACACUUCGUUACGUGCAUUAAAUUCCCCACACCACAUCACCUUUCCCUCAUUGAAUCUCCUAUCAACCACUUCCAGCGUCCCCAACACCACCCGCUCACAGGGAUGAUAGAAAUUCACUGUCCCUUUAUUCUCUUUAUGUCCUACAAUUUCUAUACCCACACACUUGGACACCAUUACCUCCACCCUUCUGUAGUUCACACCAACUUUAACAAAUGUAGCACAGCCCCCACCCACACCCUCCACUCUGUCACACCUAACUGACCUGAAGCCCGAGAUCACAAAUUCCAACAUGGGCUUAAGCCACAUUUCUCGUACACACACCAGAUCAGGUACCACAUCCAUACUGUACAAAAACGUCUUAAACUCCUGCCCAUUAGCCACCAAACUCCUUAAACUCCUGUCCAUUAGCCACCAAACUCCUUAAACUCCUGCCCAUUAGCCACCAAACUCCUUAAACUCCUGUCCAUUAGCCACC